ACCUGGGUGGCUCAGUCGGUUAAGCGUCCGACUUUAGCUCAGGUCAUGAUCUCACAGUUUGUUGGUUCAAGCCCUGCCUCAGGCU
rnacentral:tRNA from 1 species